GACGAACGCUGGCGGCGUGCCUAAUACAUGCAAGUAGAACGCUGAAGGAGGAGCUUGCUUCUCUGGAUGAGUUGCGAACGGGUGAGUAACGCGUAGGUAACCUGCCUGGUAGCGGGGGAUAACUAUUGGAAACGAUAGCUAAUACCGCAUAAGAGUAGAUGUUGCAUGACAUUUGCUUAAAAGGUGCAAUUGCAUCACUACCAGAUGGACCUGCGUUGUAUUAGCUAGUUGGUGGGGUAACGGCUCACCAAGGCGACGAUACAUAGCCGACCUGAGAGGGUGAUCGGCCACACUGGGACUGAGACACGGCCCAGACUCCUACGGGAGGCAGCAGUAGGGAAUCUUCGGCAAUGGACGGAAGUCUGACCGAGCAACGCCGCGUGAGUGAAGAAGGUUUUCGGAUCGUAAAGCUCUGUUGUAAGAGAAGAACGAGUGUGAGAGUGGAAAGUUCACACUGUGACGGUAUCUUACCAGAAAGGGACGGCUAACUACGUGCCAGCAGCCGCGGUAAUACGUAGGUCCCGAGCGUUGUCCGGAUUUAUUGGGCGUAAAGCGAGCGCAGGCGGUUAGAUAAGUCUGAAGUUAAAGGCUGUGGCUUAACCAUAGUACGCUUUGGAAACUGUUUAACUUGAGUGCAAGAGGGGAGAGUGGAAUUCCAUGUGUAGCGGUGAAAUGCGUAGAUAUAUGGAGGAACACCGGUGGCGAAAGCGGCUCUCUGGCUUGUAACUGACGCUGAGGCUCGAAAGCGUGGGGGAGCAAACAGG
rnacentral:rRNA from 1 species